GAUGAAGAACGUAGCGAAAUGCGAUAAGUAAUGUGAAUUGCAGAAUUCAGUGAAUCAUCGAAUCUUUGAACGCACAUUGCGCCCGUUAGCAUUCUAGCGGGCAUGCCUGUCCGAGCGUCAUUUCAACCCUCAGGGUCCCCGUUCCGGCGGGGAACCUGGUGUUGGGGAUCGGCCCGCCCCGUGCGGCGCCGUCCCCCAAAUUCAGUGGCGGUCUCGCUGCAGCCUCCCCUGCGUAGUAGUUACAACCUCGCAUCGGAGCUCAGCGCGGCCACGCCGUAAAACCCCCGACUUUCUGAACGUUGACCUCGGAUCAGGUAGGAAUACCCGCUGAACUUAAGCAUAUCAUAAGCGGAGGA
rnacentral:misc_RNA from 1 species